CGGGACGUAGCGCAGCCUGGUUAGCGCACUUGACUGGGGGUCAAGGGGUCGGAGGUUCAAAUCCUCUCGUCCCGACCA
rnacentral:tRNA from 5 species